rnacentral:rRNA from 1 species
AGCGAACGCUGGCGGCAGGCCUAACACAUGCAAGUCGAACGAACUCUUCGGAGUUAGUGGCGGACGGGUGAGUAACCCGUGGGAACGUGCCUUUUGGUUCGGAAUAACUCAGGGAAACUUGUGCUAAUACCGAAUGUGCCCUUCGGGGGAAAGAUUUAUCGCCAUUAGGGCGGCCCGCGUCUGAUUAGCUAGUUGGUGAGGUAACGGCUCACCAAGGCGAAGAUCAGUAGCUGGUCUGAGAGGAUGACCAGCCACACUGGGACUGAGACACGGCCCAGACUCCUACGGGAGGCAGCAGUGGGGAAUCUUGCGCAAUGGGCGAAAGCCUGACGCAGCCAUGCCGCGUGAAUGAUGAAGGUCGUAGGAUUGUAAAAUUCUUUCACCGGGGACGAUAAUGACGGUACCCGGAGAAGAAGCCCCGGCUAACUUCGU